rnacentral:lncRNA from 1 species
ACUCCAAAGCAGCCGACGGCACGCAGGACCUGAAUGUGUUAGGAAUCGGCUUCGUAGCUGGCUUGUGCACCAAGUUCUUCGUAGCCCUUGGUGAAGACAUCGCUGGUACCUACAGCGGAAUGCAUACGCUCACCCACGAGGCGGGCCACGUGCUUGGUGAUUCACACGAUGACAGCA